UGAGUAACACGUAUCCAACCUGCCGUCUACUCUUGGACAGCCUUCUGAAAGGAAGAUUAAUACAAGAUGGCAUCAUGAGUCCGCAUGUUCACAUGAUUAAAGGUAUCGGUAGACGAUGGGGAUGCGUUCCAUUAGAUAGUAGGCGGGGUAACGGCCCACCUAGUCUUCGAUGGAUAGGGGUUCUGAGAGGAAGGUCCCCCACAUUGGAACUGAGACACGGUCCAA
rnacentral:rRNA from 1 species